CCCCCUGGUGCUGUGGAGAGUCACACCUGCAGCAAAUCACUCAUUUGACGGACACUACUUAAGAUCGGCUGCAGCUCUCUACAGCGCCUGAGUCUUGCAGAACUUACCUCACGUGCCUCCAGCCCAGAUCACCGCAGCCAGCACCAGCGCACUCUCUCACUCUCCUGGACUCUUGGAAUCCCCCCUCCCUUGUUCACUUACCUGCACAAUAAAACUGUUCAAACCUG